UACAGAGGGGGCAAGCGUUGUUCGGAAUUACUGGGCGUAAAGGGCGCGUAGGCGGCCUGCUAAGUCGAACGUGAAAUCCCCGAGCUCAACUCGGGAACUGCGUCCGAUACUGGCAGGCUUGAAUCCGGGAGAGGGAUGCGGAAUUCCAGGUGUAGCGGUGAAAUGCGUAGAUAUCUGGAGGAACACCGGUGGCGAAGGCGGCAUCCUGGACCGGCAUUGACGCUGAGGAGCGAAAGCAUGGGGAGCGAACAGG
rnacentral:rRNA from 1 species